CACACUGCCACUCGACUCGAGGCUUCGCAGCGUGGGGAGGCCGGGAGGGGCGGUCGUGGUGCCAAACCUUUUGAUUGUUUUUUUUUCAAAAAAAAAGGUGCAUGCGGGUGGUUUGUGGACGUGAGGAACCUGAGUCGUGAAUUUGGUUUGCUUCAUUUUUUUUAUCAAGUGGGUCCCAGCUCCUGGCUAAAAGAACCUGUGAUCCAAUAACGUGCAUUUUUUUGUUGACAUUUUCUUACUCAUAGAAUUCGGUCUUUGUGGAAGUAGUAUGUUCUGCAUUUUUUUAAAAGUAUGUUCUGCAUUGACUGUGAUGGUUCACGGAGAUACCGAGUUGCCAACGCAAUGUUUUGGUCAUAAAAAGUCAACAUAACCGCAAUAAUGUUUACUUCCAUUGUACGGUGGUCUUUGAAAGGUGGAUUAGAAAAAUCGCAUUACUCUUUGUUGCAUUCACACUAUUAUCUAUUGUUUAUCUGAAUUCAUCCUUCAAAUCUCACAACAAUGCACUAGGUCUCUUCAUAAUUUUUUUCUCAUGUACAACAUAAAAAAAUUCCCGCCGCAACGCG
rnacentral:lncRNA from 1 species